UUAAGUUCAGCGGGUAUUCCUACCUGAUUCGAGGUCAACCACAUAGAAGUAGGGGGGUUUUACGGCGUGGCCGCGUCGCUAUCCAGCUGUGAGGCAUCGCUACUACACAGAGGAGGUCGCGGGCGCGGCCGCCACUACAUUUCGGGGCCGGCCGCCGCAGAGGGCGGGCGAUCCCCAACGCCAGAGCGCAGCACGGGGCG
rnacentral:misc_RNA from 1 species